rnacentral:rRNA from 1 species
GACAGAGGAUGCAAGCGUUAUCCGGAAUGAUUGGGCGUAAAGCGUCUGCAGGUGGCUUUUUAAGUCUGCCGUCAAAUCCCAGGGCUUAACCCUGGACAGGCGGUGGAAACUACCAAGCUGGAGUACGGUAGGGGCAGAGGGAAUUUCCGGUGGAGCGGUGAAAUGCGUAGAGAUCGGAAAGAACACCAACGGCGAAGGCACUCUGCUGGGCCGACACUGACACUGAGAGACGAAAGCUAGGGGAGCAAAUGGG